CCGGGGGAACUGAAACAUCUAAGUACCCCGAGGAAAAGAAAUCAACCGAGAUUCCCCCAGUAGCGGCGAGCGAGCGGGGAGCAGCCCAGAGCCUGAAUCAGUGUGUGUGUUAGUGGAAGCGUCUGGAAAGGCGCGCGAUACAGGGUGACAGCCCCGUACACAAAAAUGCACAUGCUGUGAGCUCGAUGAGUAGGGCGGGACACGUGGUAUCCUGUCUGAAUAUGGGGGGACCAUCCUCCAAGGCUAAAUACUCCUGACUGACCGAUAGUGAACCAGUACCGUGAGGGAAAGGCGAAAAGAACCCCGGCGAGGGGAGUGAAAAAGAACCUGAAACCGUGUACGUACAAGCAGUGGGAGCACGCUUAGGCGUGUGACUGCGUACCUUUUGUAUAAUGGGUCAGCGACUUAUAUUCUGUAGCAAGGUUAACCGAAUAGGGGAGCCGAAGGGAAACCGAGUCUUAACUGGGCGUUAAGUUGCAGGGUAUAGACCCGAAACCCGGUGAUCUAGCCAUGGGCAGGUUGAAGGUUGGGUAACACUAACUGGAGGACCGAACCGACUAAUGUUGAAAAAUUAGCGGAUGACUUGUGGCUGGGGGUGAAAGGCCAAUCAAACCGGGAGAUAGCUGGUUCUCCCCGAAAGCUAUUUAGGUAGCGCCUCGUGAAUUCAUCUCCGGGGGUAGAGCACUGUUUCGGCAAGGGGGUCAUCCCGACUUACCAACCCGAUGCAAACUGCGAAUACCGGAGAAUGUUAUCACGGGAGACACACGGCGGGUGCUAACGUCCGUCGUGAAGAGGGAAACAACCCAGACCGCCAGCUAAGGUCCCAAAGUCAUGGUUAAGUGGGAAACGAUGUGGGAAGGCCCAGACAGCCAGGAUGUUGGCUUAGAAGCAGCCAUCAUUUAAAGAAAGCGUAAUAGCUCACUGGUCGAGUCGGCCUGCGCGGAAGAUGUAACGGGGCUAAACCAUGCACCGAAGCUGCGGCAGCGACGCUUAUGCGUUGUUGGGUAGGGGAGCGUUCUGUAAGCCUGUGAAGGUGUGCUGUGAGGCAUGCUGGAGGUAUCAGAAGUGCGAAUGCUGACAUAAGUAACGAUAAAGCGGGUGAAAAGCCCGCUCGCCGGAAGACCAAGGGUUCCUGUCCAACGUUAAUCGGGGCAGGGUGAGUCGACCCCUAAGGCGAGGCCGAAAGGCGUAGUCGAUGGGAAACAGGUUAAUAUUCCUGUACUUGGUGUUACUGCGAAGGGGGGACGGAGAAGGCUAUGUUGGCCGGGCGACGGUUGUCCCGGUUUAAGCGUGUAGGCUGGUUUUCCAGGCAAAUCCGGAAAAUCAAGGCUGAGGCGUGAUGACGAGGCACUACGGUGCUGAAGCAACAAAUGCCCUGCUUCCAGGAAAAGCCUCUAAGCAUCAGGUAACAUCAAAUCGUACCCCAAACCGACACAGGUGGUCAGGUAGAGAAUACCAAGGCGCUUGAGAGAACUCGGGUGAAGGAACUAGGCAAAAUGGUGCCGUAACUUCGGGAGAA
rnacentral:rRNA from 1 species